rnacentral:rRNA from 1 species
AGUGAACGUUGGCGGCGUGGAUUAGGCAUGCAAGUCGUACGAGAAUCGUAGCAAUACGAGGAAAGUGGCGGAAGGGAGAGGAUUACGUGGGAAUCUACCCUCAGAACUGGGAUAGCGGCGGGAAACUGCCGGUACUACCAGAUAAUGUCUGUGGACCACAGGUGUGAUUCCGUCGGGGGAUGAGCCCACGUCCUAUUAGCUAGUUGGCAGGGUAAUGGCCUACCAAGGCAAUGAUGGGUAGCGGGUGUGAGAGCAUGACCCGCCUCACUGGGACUGAGAACUGCCCAGACACCUACGGGUGGCUGCAGUCGAGAAUCUUCGGCAAUGAGCGCAAGCUUGACCGAGCGACGCCGCGUGCGGGAUGAAGGCCUUCGGGUUGUAAACCGCUGUCGUAGGGGAGCAAGAGAUGAGGGUACUCCCUCUGAUUUGAGCGAUCCUAGGAGGAAGGACGGGCUAAGUUCGUGCCAGCCGCCGCCGUAAAAC